AGCACCACAACGGGUGGAGCUUGCGGUUUAAUUGGAUUCAACGCCGGAAAUCUUACCGGGACCGACAGCAAUAUGAAGGCCAGGCUGAAGACUUUGCCGGAUUAGCUGAGAGGUGGUGCAUGGCCGUCGUCAGUUCGUACUGUGAAGCAUCCUGUUAAGUCAGGCAACGAGCGAGACCCACGCCCACAGUUGCCAGCGUACUCUCUGGAGUGACGGGUACACUGUGGGACCGCCGCUGCUAAAGCGGAGGAAGGAAUGGGCAACGGUAGGUCAGUAUGCCCCGAAUAUCCCGGGCUACGCGCGAGCUACAAUGGUUGGUACAAUGGGUAUCUACCCCGAAAGGGGACGGGAAUCUCCUAAAACCAAUCUUAGUUCGGAUUGAGGGCUGCAACUCGCCCUCAUGAAGCUGGAAUCCGUAGUAAUCGCGUUUCAACAGAACGCGGUGAAUACGUCCCUGCUCCUU
rnacentral:rRNA from 1 species